rnacentral:rRNA from 1 species
AGGAUGAACGCUGGCGGCGUGCCUAACACAUGCAAGUCGAACGUCCUGUCUCGCAAGAGGCAGGGAGUGGCGGACGGGUGAGUACCACGUGGGUCAUCUACCGUGAGGUGAGGAAUACCGGCGAGAAAUCGCCGACAAGACCGCAUAGCCUCGGUGCAAGUUGAGCAAAGCUCUUUCGAGAGAGGGAGCGCCACACGAGGAGCCUGCGCCCGAUUAGCUAGCUGGUGGAGUAACGGUUCACCAGGGCGACGAUCGGUAGCUGGUCUGAGAGGACGAUCAGCCACACUGGGAUUGAGAACGGCCCAGACUCCUACGGGGGGCAGCAGUGAGGAAUUUUCGUCAAUGGGGGCAACCCUGAACGAGCAACGCCGCGUGCAGGAAGAAGGUUUUCGGAUCGUAAACUGCUUUUCGUCGGGGAAGAGGAACGGACGGUACCCGAGGAAUCGAGCCCCGGCUAACUACGUGCCAGCAGCCGC